GAUGAACGCUGGCGGCGUGCCUAAUACAUGCAAGUAGAACGCUGAAGGAAGGAGCUUGCUCUUUCCGGAUGAGUUGCGAACGGGUGAGUAACGCGUAGGUAACCUGCCUGGUAGCGGGGGAUAACUAUUGGAAACGAUAGCUAAUACCGCAUAACAGUAGAUGUUGCAUGAUAUCUACUUAAAAGGUGCAAUUGCACCACUACCAGUUGGACCUGCGUUGUAUUAGCUAGUUGGUGAGGUAACGGCUCACCAAGGCGACGAUACAUAGCCGACCUGAGAGGGUGAGCGGCCACACUGGGACUGAGACACGGCCCAGACUCCUACGAGAGGCAGCAGUAGGGAAUCUUCGGCAAUGGACGGAAGUGGGACCGAGCAACGCCGCGUGAGUGAAGAAGGUUUUCGGAUCGUAAAGCUCUGUUGUAAGAGAAGAACGAAUGUGAGAGUUGAAAGGUCACACUGUGACGGUAUCUUACCAGAAAGGGACGGCUAACUACGUG
rnacentral:rRNA from 1 species